rnacentral:rRNA from 1 species
UACGUAGGGUGCGAGCGUUAAUCGGAAUUACUGGGCGUAAAGCGUGCGCAGGCGGUUAUGUAAGACAGUUGUGAAAUCCCCGGGCUCAACCUGGGAAUUGCAUCUGUGACUGCAUAGCUAGAGUAACGGUAGAGGGGGAUGGAAUUCCGCGUGUAGCAGUGAAAAUGCGUAGAUAUGCGGAGGAACACCGAUGGCGAAGGCAAUCCCCUGGACCUGUACUGACGCUCAUGCACGAAAGGCGUGGGGAGCAAACAGG